UUAUAAUUGUGAUGUCGUCACAGCUUCUGCAAUUGUUAUAGAUUCAUAUGUAAUUGGUAAACAAAAGUCAGUAAUUACAACUCUGACUAAUCGGUAUUUGAUCUAACAAAAAUUUAGUCUUGACCUCUUGACAUAAUCCUCCAUAGACUAAGUAUAGCACGUUUGAUUUAUUAAUCUUUCUUUGUUCUCCACUUUCAAGCAAGUAAAAUAUAGCCAAUUGACCACCUUUGAUCCUUCUCCACAUUUGAACUUGUAUAAUAUUCGAGCAGCAUUCUUUUGCAUCAUCUCAUUUUUUCCAGGCUGCAAAAAAAUAUAAAAGAUUCAGUAAGUGAAAAAUAAAAUGUAGAUUCAACACCUUUAGCAUAAAAACAGGUGAGUACCACAUUUUAACAAACUGGGCAUCAGAAAAUUAUAAACUUAUCUAGGAAGAAAAUGAGACUAUUCCCACUUUUGGUUUACUUUCUAUAGCUAGCAACAACAUCUCGACAAGUCUUUCAGAAAAAAUAAAAUAAAAUAAAACCUUAGCAAAUAACUAUAGAUUUCUUAAAAGAAAAAAUCUAAAAUUUAAGCACAAAAAUGUUAAUAAUCAAUACUACUCAAUGAAGAGAUUGAUGCUGAAUCAAUACUACUCAAGCGAUUAUCACAUCUAGCUGACGGAACUUCAACUUUUCACCUUGAUACUGUUAGGCGAUUUUGAUGUUUUUCAUUUCUGAAGAUUUAUUAGAUUUCCUUUCGGAAUUUGACGAAAUUUUGAUUUUGAAAGAGAGAGUAAGCGAGGUUUCAC
rnacentral:lncRNA from 1 species